CGAACAAUAGAACUAAGCCAUCUGAACUAAGCCUUCAUCCUCUUUCCUCUAAGUCUUCUCCUGAGCUAACCUCCAGAAGAUAUUUUACAGCCUCAGAAGUGGGAUCCUUUGUUUCCCUGGUCGGGUUUUUUUAAGAAGAAAAGAAGUGACAUUACAAAAGUGCAACCCGUGUAUCCGGCGAGAGCAUCACAGGCAUCGCAAGGAAUAUUCGUGAGGCAUCCAUUCUUCGAAGUCUCUCAGCAAGUUUUCCCGCGUAUCCGGCGAGAGCAUUACGAGCAUCGCAAGAAAUAUUCGCGAGGCAGCUAUUCUUCAGCGUCACACAGCAAGUUACGUCUCUCAAUGCCUAACAUGGAAUAUCUUCCUCAAUUCUGUGUAACAAAACAAUCAAUGGAAAAACAACAGGAAAUGAUUGAACUAUUGGUGAAGUUACUGUCCUUGACACAAAAGUCAUCGCAGGAGCGAGCACAUCUGGACCCAUUAGUAGCCACACCUGUGCAGAACCUCCAAACUGUGCAAUGUGCAGCACCCUGCAAUAUUCAGCAAUUUGGUGAAACAGACCUGCUUCAACUUCAUUCACAGUGUGCGUCACCAGUAACAAUACCAAGGGAUACAGAACAUCAUGAUAAAUUUUCUGCUGCGACAGGCAAUGCAAUAAAAUUCCUAAAUUCACAAAUACCAUCUUUUGGAGGUACCGAAGAAGAGGACAUUGAACUUUGGAUUGAAAAGAUCGCGAAACAAUAGCAGAACUACACAAUCUUUCAAAUGUAGUAAUGCUAACAGCGGCUGCUUUCAAACUAACAAAAUUUGUAAAAAGAUGGUUUAAUCUAAGUACAGGUCCCAUAAAUAGAUUAUGGUUCACCUUCAAAAAAGAAAUUGUUGAUCGCUUUAGAAGAAAAGUACUCUUUAACGAGGUUUUACAAAAAGUGAGUGCCAGGAAGUGGAUAUUUUCCAAGGAAAAUUUCCAGGAAUAUUCCAUGGAUAAGUUGGCACCCCUCAAACUUUCAGACGAAGAUGCCAUUCAAUUCUUAAUCCAAGGAAUAGGAAGCUUCGCAUUGCGAGCUACAGCAGCAUCAUUAAGAACAAGAUCUCUUAAUCACUUUUUAAGAGAAAUGCAGCAUACAGCCUCAGCGAGUGGUGAUCCAAUCAAUAAGUCACCUAAGACUAAAAAUAAGUUUGACAAAACUAAA